GAACCUUACCAGGUCUAGACAUCUCCUGACAACCCUAGAGAUAGGGCGUUGGCCUUCGGGGGACAGGAUGACAGGUGGUGCAUGGUUGUCGUCAGCUCGUGUCGUGAGAUGUUGGGUUAAGUCCCGCAACGAGCGCAACCCUUGAUCUUAGUUGCCAGCAUUCAGUUGGGCACUCUAAGGUGACUGCCGGUGACAAACCGGAGGAAGGUGGGGAUGACGUCAAAUCAUCAUGCCCCUUAUGACCUGGGCUACACACGUGCUACAAUGGAUGGUACAAAGGGCUGCAAGACCGCGAGGUUAAGCGAAUCCCAUAAAACCAUUCUCAGUUCGGAUUGCAGGCUGCAACUCGCCUGCAUGAAGCCGGAAUCGCUAGUAAUCGCGGAUCAGCAUGCCGCGGUGAAUACGUUCCCGGGCCUUGUACACACCGCCCGUCACACCACGAGAGUUUGUAACACCCGAAGUCGGUGGGGUAACCUUUGGAGCCAGCCGCCUAAGGUGGACAGAUGUGGG
rnacentral:rRNA from 1 species